rnacentral:rRNA from 1 species
GCGGACGGGUGAGUAACGCGUGGGCAACCUGCCUUGUACAGGGGGAUAACACCGGGAAACCGGUGCUAAUACCGCAUAACAUUAUUAGAUAGCAUUAUCUGAUAAUCAAAGGAGAAAUCCGGUACAAGAUGGGCCCGCGUCCGAUUAGCUAGUUGGUGAGGUAAUAGCUCACCAAGGCGACGAUCGGUAGCCGAACUGAGAGGUUGAUCGGCCACAUUGGGACUGAGACACGGCCCAAACUCCUACGGGAGGCAGCAGUGGGGAAUAUUGCGCAAUGGGGGAAACCCUGACGCAGCAACGCCGCGUGAAGGAUGAAGGCUUUCGGGUUGUAAACUUCUUUGAUGGGGGAAGAAAAAAAUGACGGUACCCCAAAAACAAGCCACGGCUAACUACGUGCCAGCAGCCGCGGUAAUACGUAGGUGGCAAGCGUUAUCCGGAAUUACUGGGUGUAAAGGGCGUGUAGGCGGGGAUGUAAGUCAGAUGUGAAAUUUCGGAGCUCAACUCCGAAGCUGCAUCUGAGAC